UACGAAGGGGGCUAGCGUUGCUCGGAAUCACUGGGCGUAAAGGGUGCGUAGGCGGGUCUUUAAGUCAGGGGUGAAAUCCUGGAGCUCAACUCCAGAACUGCCCUUGAUACUGAAGAUCUUGAGUUCGGGAGAGGUGAGUGGAACUGCGAGUGUAGAGGUGAAAUUCGUAGAUAUUCGCAAGAACACCAGUGGCGAAGGCGGCUCACUGGCCCGAUACUGACGCUGAGGCACGAAAGCUAGGGGAGCAAACAGG
rnacentral:rRNA from 1 species